UACGGAGGGUGCAAGCGUUAUUCGGAAUUAUUGGGCGUAAAGGGCGCGUAGGCGGCCUGUUAAGUCAUCUGUGAAAUUUCGGGGCUUAACCCCGGAGCUGCAUGUGAUACUGGCAGGCUUGAGUAUGGCAGAGGAAAGCGGAAUUCCUGGUGUAGCGGUGAAAUGCGUAGAUAUCAGGAGGAACACCGGUGGCGAAGGCGGCUUUCUGGACCAAUACUGACGCUGAUGCGCGAAGGCGUGGGUAGCAAACAGGAUUAGAUACCCCGGUAGUCC
rnacentral:rRNA from 1 species